GCUCACUGACAACUGGCUGAAUUUCUUGGCUUCUUUGAUUUCUUCUUCUCAUGUUUGGGUUGUGCCAGGGGGUGGGAAACUCGGCUCACUGUGCCCGGCACAGUAUUCGGCACAUCUGGGCACCCUUCUAAUUGACAAUGAAUUGGAUUUGACAGCUACAACUUUGUUUUUGCUAACUACAUAAAGUGGUCGUGCGAUUCAAUCAGAUUGUUGUUAUCCCGAAUUUGUUUGGUAAACAAUCGCAUCCACGAUGAAACCCGAAAAAUUAUCGUGAUCACCGAGGGUCAAAACGGCGUUACAAGUCUCAGAGAGUUUAUUCGUCCAGACCAAAAUCUUGCCGGAUUUCAUUGUGACCCACUUCUGAAGAGAAGUUUCAAAAUCUCCGCCAAGGAAUGCUGGGA